GGAGGUCCCUGGGUUCCGGCGAGGCUAGCAGGCGGCGGCGGGACUCCAGGCUAUUGGCCGGCUCUAGGAAACGGCGGCGAGAGGAGAGAACUGAGUCUCAAGACUCCAUCCUGGUCUUGGGAAUUCUUCUGCGGCAAUACUUUGAGUGAAUGACCUCCUUGGAGACCAUUCCUCUGCUUCUCUUACAACCAGCCAGGAGGCAGAAGAUUCCACAGGUCCAGGAAAGGCCCAUCACCUCUGACCUUCCAGUAACUACCUCAUGCUUGGUGGAUCAGGAUGACUAUGGCUUUUGUAUUCAGUGUCCUGUUGCUGGGGCUAUGUGGACAUAUUGCUUCAGGAGGUCAGUCUACAUCCACAAGCACUCCUGGGGCUUUGAAUUAUGAAUUGCCUACCUCAGAGUAUGAGACCCCAGACACAUUCAACGCCGGAAUUGUUGGCCCUCUCUACGGAAUGGUACACAUCUUCCUCAACGUGGUCCAGCCAAAUGAUUUCCCUCUAGAAAUGGUCAGAAAAAUCAUACAGAAGAAUUUUGACUUCUCAGUUGAUUCAAAGGAGCCAGAAAGCAUAGUCUUGGCUUUGAAGAUUGCCUACUAUGAAAUCGGAGUUCUGAUCUGCGCCGCCCUGGGGCUGCUGGUCAUUAUCCUCAUGCCCCUGGUGGGCUGCUUCUUUUGUAUGUGCCGUUGCUGUAACAAGUGUGGUGGAGAAAUGCACCAGCGGCAGAAGCAGAACGAGUCGUGUAGGAGGAGAUGCUUGGCCGUUUCGCUCUUGGUGAUUUGUCUGCUCAUGAGCCUGGGCGUCAUGUAUGGCUUUGUGGCCAAUCACCAGGUAAGGACCUGGAUCAAAAGGACCCAGAAACUGGCAGACAGCAAUUACAGAGACUUGCAAGUGCUCCUGAACGAAACCCCAAAGCAAAUUGACUAUAUAUUGGUUCAGUACAACACCACCAAGGACAAGGCAUUUUCAGACCUGGAUGGCAUUGAUUCCUUGCUGGGAGGCAGAAUAAAAGACCAAUUAAAACCCAAAGCAAUCCCUGUUCUCGAUUCAAUUAAGACCAUGGCAACAGCCAUCAAGCAGACCAGGGAUGCCCUGCAGAGCAUGAGCAGCAGCCUGAAGAGCAUAAAUGAUGGAAGCACACAGCUCAGUGCCAACCUCACCUCUGUGAGAAACAGCGUCGAGACUUCACUCAACAGCAGCGACUGUGCUGCAGACCCAGCCAGAAGGAUCUGUGAUAGCAUCAGAUCAGGCCUAAGCAAUCUGGGGAGCAACCACGACUCAACUCAGCUCCCAUCUGUGGAUGGAGAACUCAACACUAUUAAUGACAUCUACAAAACUGAUCUGGAGAGCCUCAUCACAAAGGGGUAUACGUCGAUUGAUGAAAUACCUGCUAAGGUAGGAAGCCAAACCCUGGCUGUCAUCGCAGAUGUCAAAAAGGCCUUGGAUUCCAUCAGCUCCAACAUUACAAGUGUGAGCCAAAGUAUUCCUAUUAAGGAGGUGCUGUUUGACGUCUCCAAUUACAUUAAUGACAGCAACAGUUACUUGCAGCAGGAGCUGCCUAAACUGGAAGAAUAUGACUCAUACUGGUGGCUGGGUGGCUUGAUUGCCUGCUUCCUGCUGACCCUCAUUGUGACCUUCUUUUUCCUGGGCUUGCUGUGUGGUGUAUAUGGCUAUGACAAGCGUGCCACCCCAACCAGAAGAGGUUGUGUGUCCAACACGGGAGGCAUAUUCCUCAUGGCUGGGGUUGGAUUCAGCUUCCUUUUCUGCUGGAUAUUGAUGAUCCUUGUGGUUGUUACUUUUGUCAUUGGUGCAAAUGUGGAAAAGUUGCUCUGUGAGCCUUAUGCAAACAAGAAAUUAUUGCAGGUUUUGGACACUCCCUACUUGCUAAAAGAAGACUGGCAAUUCUUUCUCUCUGGCUUGAUACUCAAGAACUCAAACAUUAACCUGACAUUUGAACAAGUUUACAGGGAUUGCAAAGGAGGUCGGGGUGUAUAUGCUACCUUUCAUCUUGAUAAUGUUUUCAACAUCACCGAGAAUUUCAACAUUGAGAAGCAUACUGGGAAAAUAAAGAAGGAGUUGGAAAACCUGAAUGUGAAUAUUGAUAACAUUGAAUUGUUGGACAAAACAGGAAAGAAAAACCUGGAGGACUUUGCACAUUCUGGGAUAGAUGCAAUCAAUUAUUCCAUGUACUUGAAGGAGGCUGAGAAAUCUCCUACCAAAAUGGAUCUGCUGGCAUUUGCCUCUUCUCUGGAAGAAAAGGCAAACCAGUUGCCUGAUGGAAAGUUGAAACAGGCCUUGAACACAGAUGUACAGAAUAUUAGAACCAUUCACCAUCAACAAGUCAUUCCUUUGCAGCAAUCACUGAAUACUUUAAAACAAAGUGUCUGGACACUUGAGCGCACGAGUGAGAAGUUGCCGGAGAAAGUGAACAAGAUCAUUGUGUCUUUGGAGUCUGCUCAGAAUUUCCUCAUCAAUAAUGUUUCUUCCAUCGUUAUUGAAGAAACGAUGAAGUAUGGAGGAACAAUAAUAGGCUACUUUGAGCGUUACCUGAAGUGGGUCUCGUACGCCAUCACAGAGAAGAUGACAUCCUGCAAGCCCUUGGCCACUGCAAUGGACUCUGCCGUUAAUGGUGUUCUGUGUGGCUAUGGUGCUGACCCUCUGAAUUUGUUCUGGUUCGGCAUAGGAAAAGCCACGGUACUCUUGCUUCCUGCUAUAAUCAUCGCUGUCAAGCUGGCCAAGUACUAUCGCAGGAUGGAUUCAGAGGACGUAUAUGAUGAUGUUGAAACUGUACCCAUGAAAAAUUUGGAAAACGGUAGUAAUGGUUAUCAUAAAGAUCAUUUAUAUGGUGUUCACAAUCCUGUUAUGACAAGGUAAAAGAAAGCCUGAAGUGCAUGCCUAGCCUGUGCCCAUCUCGUUACUGACAACUGAAGUUGAAAUUGCUUGAGCAUCAAGACAGUCAAAGUGGAAAGGAUCCCAGACUUUGGAUAGUUUUUGAGUCUUCUAGAACUUUCAAGUCGAGAAGGAAUAAAACAUGGAGACUCAGGCAGGCACUGACGUCAUGGCACCAGUGGUCUUAGGGUAGCACUUUGACAGCAAUGAACAGCCAUGGUUAUAACCCAUGUGCCCAUUGCUAUUCAAGAAUGACUCUCCUGCUUGGUUUUUAACUUUUUUUACACUGAAUUUCUAUUUAGACACUAAAACAUAUGAGGGGCUUGUUUUCCCGGAUACAUUUACCUUGGAGCCAGCUAUUAGGAUGUCAUAGCUGGGUACCUAACUUACUUCCAUAUGUGAAGUGUGCUAAACACAAAGAAAGAUGUAUUUUGUAUACAGUAAAUUGUAUAUAGAUCCUUCCACCACAGUCGGAGAUAUUUUUUUAAACAAAUGAGUACUCUAGAUUUUUCUCCUAAAUAAGGUUACUGUUGGGUUGGGGUUGACUUCCUGGUGCACUGAAAGUGCGUGAAUCCUGCAGCCGGCAUGUCCUUCCUCGUGAAUUUCUCCUGCUUGCUGCCGCUCUGCCUGAUGGACAGAGAGAUACCUGCUAUACACCACCGGCAAGUUCAGAACAGAGAGACCUUGGUUGGGAGAAGGAAACAUUGCUCAGCUGGAAGCAGAAUCGUUUCCACAGACACCAGUCCUAGCUCACACUUUAGUGGCACUUUCUGAUUUGUGAGGGUAGGCAUAAACUUCCGUGUCAUCCGACUAUCACUGGGAUCCUAAACCGAGGUGCAAGAGCUCCUGUCCGGAUUCGGAAAUUUGUAAUAAAGCACGGGUGAAUGAG